rnacentral:rRNA from 1 species
AUACGUAGGGGGCGAGCGUUGUCCGGAAUUAUUGGGCGUAAAGGGUUCGCAGGCGGUCUGAUAAGUCAGAUGUGAAAGGCAAUGGCUCAACCAUUGUAAGCAUUUGAAACUGUCAGACUUGAGUUAAGGAGAGGAAAGUGGAAUUCCUAGUGUAGCGGUGAAAUGCGUAGAUAUUAGGAGGAAUACCAGGGGCGAAGGCGACUUUCUGGACUUAUACUGACGCUGAGGAACGAAAGCGUGGGGAGCAAACAGGAUUAGAUACCCUGGUAGUCCACGCCGUAAACGAUGAGUGCUAGGUGUUGGGGGUCAAACCUCGGUGCCGCAGCUAACGCAUUAAGCACUCCGCCUGGGGAGUACGUACGCAAGUAUGAAACUCAAAUGAAUUGACGGGG